rnacentral:rRNA from 1 species
UACGUAGGGUGCAAGCGUUAAUCGGAAUGACUGGGCGUAAAGGGUGCGCAGGCGGUCUGCUAAGACAGAGGUGAAAUCCCCGGGCUUAACCUGGGAAUGGCCGUUGAAACUGGCGAACUGGAGUGUGGCAGAGGGGGGUGGAAUUCCGCGUGUAGCAGUGAAAUGCGUAGAGAUGCGGAGGAACACCGAUGGCGAAGGCAGCCCCCUGGGCUAACACUGACGCUCAGGCACGAAAGCGUGGGGAGCAAACAGG